GGGCAGAAAGGGAGAGUGCUGGGCGGGCUUAGUCGGAGAUUGAGGACUGGGAAUCCGCUUCCGGGAGGGCACUGUCUAGUGCACAGGCAACCUGGCCUUGGCCUCCUAGCCCGAGAAUCUCCCUAAUCCCUGUGACCUGUGUCACCUCUGCAUCGCGAGGAGGGGGAGAAGUGGGGAGAAGUCUGGUUUCAGAUGGGGUGGCGCCGGAAGAAGGGGCCACAGCGGGGACGGAAGGCGCCCCCACCCCGACUCCACGGGAAUAUAAACAAUUUGUAUUUUCCGAUCAGGUGGCGGGACAGGCUUCAUUGGGACAGCCCUAACCCAGCUGCUGAAUGCCAGAGGCCACGAAGUGACGUUGGUCUCCCGACAGCCCGGGCCCGGCCGGAUCACGUGGGUACGUCCAUCCUCUGGAAGCGGGUGGGAGGGCAGAGUUGGGCGGGGCAGGGGCACUGUGUGCUUUCUCCGACAGGAUGAGCUCGCUGCAUCGGGGCUGCCCAGCUGCGAUGCCGCCGUCAACCUGGCCGGAGAGAACAUCCUCAACCCUCUCCGAAGGUCAGCCUGGGCCCUAAAGCUGAUACCCACUAGAGCACAGGGAGGAGAGUGCCCCACUGAUGAGAACCUGUGAGCUAUGGAUGGAAUGAGACCUUCCAAAAAGAGGUUCUCGGCAGCCGCCUAAAGACCACUCAGUUGCUGGCUAAAGCCAUCACCAAAGCCCCACAACCCCCCAAGGCCUGGGUCUUAGUCACAGGUGUAGGUAUGCCCCCCAAAUCACCAGCCCCUUAUAUUCGCCAGGGGAACGGGGUAACUCAGACCUCUGUAGCUAUGCACACACCAUUUUGCAUAGCUGUCCACACCAUUUUGCAUAGCACUCAUCUUUUCCAGGCAAUGGAACACACCAUUUUGCAUAGCACUGGUCUUUUCCAGGCAAAAUGACUUCCUAGGCCCUUGAUCCAUGCAUGUUUCUCCUAACCUUUGUGUACUUUCACUAAGAAAUUGAGACCCUGAAAAAGAGUGGGGAGUGGCAUCACUCUUAGUGCCAGGGAAAAGUCCACCUAUCCCAAAGUCCCUUACUUCUCACACCAUAGUUCUUUAGGAACAGAGUUCCUGGUCACCUUUGGGACUAAGUAAUUGCAAACAAUUAUACACACCAGCCACUAUUUGAAGUGUUUUAUGCUUAUUAUCAUUUAUUCCUUACAACAACCCUAUGAGGUAGGUACUAUUAUUCCCAUUUUAAAGAUGUGAAAAUUCUAUACAGAGAGGUUAAGUAACUUGCAUCAAGUCAGAGAGUUAAUAAAUGAGGGAACUGAUUAAAACUCAGGCAGCCUGGUACCCAAGUUCCUGUUCUUAACCACUACACUCUAGCAGCCUCUAAGUUUAGCCCUGCAACCAGAGUUCCUCCAGGAAAGGAACGCUUCAGGUCAUGGAGAAGUUCAAGGGGAAAAUAUCCAAAUGGCUCUGUCUCCAAAUGGGGAGAUCCUAAGGGCCAAAGAAGCUGAGGCCAAGGGGAGCCUCCACUACAGAGAGCCAGGCAGGACCAAGGACACCCAGGGCAAAUGACUGUGUUCCACCGGCAGCUUACUACCAGCCCAGUCUGACUGCAGAGUAUGAUGAAGACAGCCCAGGAGGGGACUUUGACUUUUUCUCCAACCUCGUAACCAAAUGGGAAGCUGCAGCCAGGCUUCCUGGAGAUUCUACACGCCAGGUGGUGGUGCGCUCGGGUGAGAAACAGGGGCCUGGGUAUCAGACAGGUUUGGAAUGUCUUCUCUGGGCUGGGAAAGUGAUGGGAUUAGGAGAGCUGAGAUUACAAUUACAGAGUGAGAGGAUGACACCACUUAUAGCCAACCUGCAGAUGAGGUGUGAAGUCUUAAAGAGAGCCAUACUGCUCACUUCUGUUACAGAGCCAAGUCAGCAUGGGGAGAGUGAGGAAGGGGAAACAGAAACCAGGAGGAGCAGUGGGGCUCCUUCAAGGCUGAGACGACCCCUGUACCUUCCCUCUUGCCUGCUCUAGGGGUUGUGCUGGGCCGUGGGGGUGGUGCCAUCGGCCACAUGCUGCUGCCCUUUCGCCUGGGCCUGGGGGGCCCCAUCGGCUCAGGCCACCAAUUCUUCCCCUGGAUACACAUUGGGGACCUGGCAGGAAUCCUGACCCAUGCCCUUGAAGCAAACCACGUGCACGGGGUCCUGAAUGGAGUGGCUCCAUCCUCCGCCACUAAUGCUGAGUUUGCCCAGACCUUGGCUGCUGCCCUGGGCCGCCGAGCCUUCAUCCCUCUCCCCAGCACUGUGGUGCAAGCUGUCUUUGGGCGAGAGCGUGCCAUCAUGCUGCUGGAGGGCCAGAAGGUGAUCCCACGGCGAACACUGGCCACUGGUUACCAGUAUUCCUUCCCAGAGCUAGGGGCUGCCUUAAAGGAAAUUGUAGCCUAAGUAGGUCAUGGCAAGGGCCUGAGGCCUGUCCCUCACAGGCUUCCAGGUUAGGCACUGUGAAUAGGCCCAGCUCCUCUAGAGAGCCGAAGCCAUCUGGUUCUUAGAUUCCUCCCCCAGUCCUCUUUCCCAUUGUUCUGCUGCUCCACCUUAUUGUCUCAAGGCCGUAAUCUCAUCAGAUUGGGACAUUAAUCUUUUCAACUCCUUGUAAGAUUUCUCAGUUUGGUUUCUCUACAUGUCCUGCAGCUGCCCCACUUCUACGCUGUGUAGAGAAUGCUCUGCAGUUUAGGCAAUAAAAAUAAAUUGUCUCA